UCCUCUUCUUCCUUUCCUUUUUCCUUUUUCUUUCUCUUUUAUUCUCCUUUCUCACGCACCCACCAGCCUCCCUCUUCCUUUCUUUCUUCUACCCAUUUCUCCUUACUUCUUCUGUGCACCAGCCCAUGAGAGAUUGAGAGAGUGAGACGCAGAGAUGGAGAGACCCGUGAGCAAAACCCGUUGAACAGUGCACAGAGCCGACAAACGGCGGUUCCAGUGGUGAUUCCGGCGAAGCAAAGCUAAAACCCGACGGCUUGAAGGUCGAUUUCCGGCGGAACCCGACGAACCCAGGAGCUUCGAUCGGGAAGACCUGUGACCCAAUGAUCAGUGACCCGAGACCUAUGAAACCCGACCAUCUAUGAGCGGUUUUCCAGCGAGUCCUCCGAUGAACCAGAGUCGAUUUUCGGAUUGUGUUGUAAUUGGAGACUUCAAUGGAUUCUCCAAUGUAGAGUUCGAGUAGUUGGAAUCCAGUGGGAGUUCGAGUCAGGAGUCUAAUGCAGCCAAGAUGAUGUUUCUUUGGCUGCAGGUACUUCGGUAUAGUUGAGGGGUUGGUAGCAGUGUACUUGGGAUAUUAUAACUGAAGCUCGCCGCGAUAGUUGUAAUUGUCGGACCACGGGUUGUCCACUAUUUUAUAGGUUUGGUAUGGCUUGUGACGUUUGUGUCACUUAUUCUUUGUUAAGCCAUUAUUGUUAUGUAAAUAUUGUGUUAAUAAGACUCAAACAGAUAGAUGUUAAAUGGCUCAAUAUUGUAAUUAAUUUGUGAUAGAUGUAUAAGUUGUAAUUUUUGCUAUUCA